rnacentral:lncRNA from 1 species
UGGGCUGAAAGCAAAGAUUACAGAAGGUGUUGAUGGGCCUGGAGCUGGAAAACAUUCCACUGGAGCAAUUAAGAGGCAGUUUAGCGCCUCACUGGGCUAUACUUCUUUGAAAAUGCCUUUAGGCGGAUUAGGAAGAUUUUUCCAAGAUCCAGCCUCCUGAACAGUUGCUGCAGAACAGGGGGCGGGGCUGGACGCUGGAGCUGGAGAGAGCGUCUAGGGCCAGCGCUGGGCUCCAGCAGCGGCCUCUCAUCCCCAUCCCAGGGCUCUGAGGUCGGGUGUGCGUGCUGCCUUCCUCCUCACUCGGCAAGCAGAGCUGGCCGCCUUCCAAGAGUCUCAGUCCUGGAAUCCAGGCUAUUCUCCUAUCCUUCCUCUCCUGCACUCCAGA